AUCUCUUCUUGGCCUUUUGGGUGAGAUCAAGUAUAGUAUCUGUUUUUAUCACUUUAAUAUCUGAUACAUCCUCAAUGAGAGGACUUUAUAUUAAGCACUUUUUUUGGCUGUGGAAGUUGGAAUCUAA
rnacentral:snRNA from 1 species